GACGAACGCUGGCGGCGUGCUUAACACAUGCAAGUCGAACGAUGAAGCUAGAGCUUGCUCUGGUGGAUUAGUGGCGAACGGGUGAGUAACACGUGAGUAACCUGCCCCGAACUCUGGGAUAACUGCUGGAAACGGUAGCUAAUACCGGAUAUGACCAAUGAAGGCAUCUUCUGUUGGUGGAAAGAAUUUCGGUUCGGGAUGGACUCGCGGCCUAUCAGCUUGUUGGUGAGGUAACGGCUCACCAAGGCGACGACGGGUAGCCGGCCUGGGGGGGUGGUGGGCCACACUGGGACUGAGACAAGGCCCCGACUCCGACGGGAGGCAGCAGUGGGGAAUAUUGCACAAUGGGCGCAAGCCUGAUGCAGCAACGCCGCGUGAGGGAUGACGGCCUUCGGGUUGUAAACCUCUUUUAGCAGGGAAGAAGCGAAAGUGACGGUACCUGCAGAAAAAGCACCGGCUAACUACGUGCCAGCAGCCGCCGUAA
rnacentral:rRNA from 1 species